rnacentral:rRNA from 1 species
AUGAGGGGAAGCGCGAGGUCUCUAGUGGAAACUGCAACUAGACAAAUCAAACCCGGAAAUGGACUUGCAAGGUUGAUGACGAUUACUACUCCCCGGAAGAACAAGAAGGAGAUCAACGCUACUGAAUCUGUCCUCCCAAAGGAUGAAAACGUCGAGCCCCUCGUCGCUUUCAGCCGGCCGCCUCCUUUGCCACCGGUUCUAGGCCCCUUGAUCGCGCUCUCGCUUUUUCAGACUUCUUCUAGUGAUGAAGACAGCAAAUGA